CCUUCACACUUAGAUACAAAAGACAGUUCAUACCUUGUCGCCUUUGGAGGACUUUCUGUGCCCUUCAGAGUGAAUUUAGAGGUUCUACACAC
rfam:Erinaceus europaeus unplaced genomic scaffold scaffold00250, whole genome shotgun sequence